rnacentral:rRNA from 1 species
GCCUUAGUAGCGGCGAGUGAAGCGGCAAAAGCUCAAAUUUGAAAUCUGGCACUUUCAGUGUCCGAGUUGUAAUUUGAAGAAGGUAUCUUUGGGUCUGGCUCUUGUCUAUGUUUCUUGGAACAGAACGUCACAGAGGGUGAGAAUCCCGUGCGAUGAGAUGACCCAGACCUAUGUAAAGUUCCUUCGAAGAGUCGAGUUGUUUGGGAAUGCAGCUCUAAGUGGGUGGUAAAUUCCAUCUAAAGCUAAAUAUUGGCGAGAGACCGAUAGCGAACAAGUACAGUGAUGGAAAGAUGAAAAGAACUUUGAAAAGAGAGUGAAAAAGUACGUGAAAUUGUUGAAAGGGAAGGGCUUGAGAUCAGACUUGGUAUUUUGUAUGUUACUCUUUCGGGGGUGGCCUCUACAGUUUACCGGGCCAGCAUCAGUUUGGGCGGUAGGAGAAUUGCAAAGAAAUGUGGCACUGCUUCGGUAGUGUGUUAUAGUCUUUGUCGAUACUGCCAGCCUAGACUGAGGACUGCGGCUUCGGCCUAGGAUGUUGGCAUAAUGAUCUUAAGUCGCCCGUCUUG